rnacentral:rRNA from 1 species
UACGGGGGGAGCAAGCGUUGUUCGGAUUUACUGGGCGUAAAGGGCGCGUAGGCGGCCUGUGCAAGUCAGUUGUGAAAUCUCCGAGCUUAACUCGGAACGGUCAACUGAUACUGCUCGGCUAGAGUGCGGAAGGGGCAACUGGAAUUCUUGGUGUAGCGGUGAAAUGCGUAGAUAUCAAGAGGAACACCUGCGGCGAAGGCGGGUUGCUGGGCCGACACUGACGCUGAUGCGCGAAAGCCAGGGGAGCGAACGGG